rfam:Ailuropoda melanoleuca scaffold512_81, whole genome shotgun sequence.
GCCUGGCUGGCUCAGUCGGUAGAGCGUGUGAUUCUUAAUCUCAGGAUUGUGAGUUCAAACCCCAUGUUGGGCA